rnacentral:lncRNA from 1 species
AUACGCGAAUGGCGCCAGCAACAGCCUGGCGCGUUCUAACGCCUCCAUCUACGGCAACAAGGAAGAUAUUUACGACAGGCUCAGGAAGCACGCUUACCAGGGCAAAAAAGAAAAAGACGACGGAGCAGAGAGCGAUUGUCCAACUAACGCCUGAACCUUCAACAAACUUCAUAAACCAAGAUGCUAGAAAUUCCUGCAUGGUCGGGAAUAAUAGGUUCUUGGUGAUCUAGAACUGCCAGGUUCUUGGUUAUCUAGAAUUGCCAGGUUCUUGGUUAUCUAGAAUUGCCAGGUUUUUCAUUCUGGCUGUACUAGAACAAUGUGUUGGUUCUUCAAGUUCUCUUAUAAAUUCCGAACUGCUCAAUGCGCUGCCUUAUCUUUCACUUUCUUUUAAAGAUUUUAGUGUUUUUUGAAAGAGCGUUUUUCCCACAAUAAAUUGGCAGGAAUAUUAGUUUAGAUUUUAUAUAUAAAUAAACCGAUUGCAGAAUAGUUAAAUUUCAUGAUUAUGUAUAAGACAAUCAAUUACUUCAGUUUUUGUUUUCAACACUAUACACCAUGUCUUUUAUUAAAUUAAAAAGAAAUCGAUUUGGAUAGUUGAGUUAUCCCCGAAGACUGAGAGUGCAGAGUGAGGUGUAAGAUAACCUGGUGAACGUCGCUGUAAAUUUGAAGAAAAAACUUAAUUAAACAUGACGGAUUAAAUGAUAUACAAGCUUUUAAAAGCUGACUGAUGAUACCAGCUACGCACUAGUAUAAUAAUUUGAUCAAUACUCAACAGCGCCUUGUCUCAUCCAGCCAACGGAUGUUCAGUGGGAGUGCCGUCCUGACGUUUAUGUGAAUAGUAGUUCUUGUAAUAUUGACCAGCUCCUAGAUGUUAUAAUAAAUUAUUCAUACUGUAUACCCGUGAGUUUAUUUUUUCUAUUUACGAUUUUUUCUUUAAUUCCUUAGAUUCUUUGUUAUGACCUAACUCUGGCAUUAAAAGGAUUCAUAUCCUGCACAGCCAUUGCCCACUCUUCAUACAAUCCUCUUCGUUGGAGGACAAGAAAUGAGCUUCUUUGAUCGGAAAUGCCUUUUUACUCUAUAUGUAGGAUUAUCUUAUAGCCUGGAAUUCGAUAAACCUGUCAUUUUACCGUCAUCAAUAUAUAUGACCUCGAAAAUUUCGAGGGAUUUUAAGAAAAAUUAUCAUUAAUAAAUGGUGUGUUUUCUGUGAAAUACGAGAUAUUCUCUUCAAUUGUAAUCAAAAUUUAAUCGUUACAGCUGAAUAAUUCUGUUCGGCAAAUUUUGCUGCCUAUGUUUCUUUUUUCUUCAGGCGUUUUCAUCGUCGCAAUGUGUACAUAUUCUGCUUGUUAUAUACUCGACCUCAGCGCUAAUAUAUAACGUGUUUAUUACAGCUGAACUCCAUUAGAAAUAAUCUAUGGCUGGCCAUUCAAUGGCCCCCAUUUGACCGAUUUUGUUUUUUUAUUUGACUCGCGAUGAUUACCAUCGUUCGUGUUGACUAUUUGAAUAAUUUCAAUCUAAUAUUUUAAUCAAUAAUUAUAAAAUUCCAAUGGAUUGAAUCCCCAUCCCUGGAACUGAGGGCUGUUGUUCGUCAUUUCCGGUUUGUUCAGUUAUUCAAUAGCGCAGGUUAUUUAUUAUUCUUAAGAUGUGUAAAGUAACAGUUUGUUAAGCAGCUUCUACAGUUAUAGGGUCGGCGUGCUCAUGUAGGAUAAUGUUAAGUAGAAAUAACAUAUUAAGUAGAAACAUCUCAUUAACAGGAUUCAUUAACUGUUGCUUCAAAAUAUGUGUGAAGAAUUCGGUAACUCGUUUACUCAAAGGCAUAUCAACUGAACCAAAAAUGUCGUUAGUUUUUCCCUUCAUCGAAGCGCAAAUUUAUUUUGUCUAAAAUGUGUAAAUUUGACGUACGGAAUUGGUUUAUAACUACCUGCUGUGCAACAAGAAGAAUGUAUACCUGUCGGAAUUGUUGUUUCACUAAAAUUUCUUCGAUUUCAUGAUAGGUACCAGGACAAAUUCUUAGAAGCCAGUGCAACGACUUAUGAAUCAUUGGAGUUAUUCAAAUUAUAUUUUGUCGGAUAACAGACCAGUAUUUUUGGUUGUCCUAGCUAGCUGUUGUGUGACUUUUAUUACCAGCUACAGAAUUUCGGUUAUAGAAAAGGAAAAUUAUUCUAUUUGUAAUUGCCUUUUCCUUAAGUAAAAGUUACUUUUUA